rnacentral:rRNA from 1 species
UACAGAGGGUGCAAGCGUUAAUCGGAAUUACUGGGCGUAAAGCGUGCGUAGACGGUUAUGUAAGUCGGGUGUGAAAGCCCCGGGCUCAACCUGGGAAUGCCAUUCGAGACUGCAUAGCUAGGGUGCGGAAGAGGGAAGCGGAAUUCCGGUGUAGCGGUGAAAUGCGUAGAUAUCGGAAGGAACACCAGUGGCGAAAGCGGCUUCCUGGUCCAGCACCGACGUUCAGGCACGAAAGCGUGGGGAGCAAACAGGA